AGCAGCCGCGGUAAUUCCAGCUCCAAUAGCGUAUAUUAAAGUUGUUGCAGUUAAAAAGCUCGUAGUUGAAUUUCGAGAUCGGCUUACUGGUCGUGCUUUUGUACGUACUGGUAUAAUCGGUUUCUCCUUUCUGACGAACUUUAAUGCCAUUAAUUUGGUGUUUUAGGGAAUCAGGACUGUUACUUUGAAAGAAUUAGAGUGUUUAAAGCAGGCUCACGCUUGAAUACAUUAGCAUGGAAUAACGGAAUAGGACGUUUGAUUCUAUUUUGUUGGUUUCUAGGAUCGACGUAAUGAUUAAUAGGGAUAGUUGGGGGCAUUAGUAUUCAAUUGUCAGAGGUGAAAUUCUUGGAUUUAUUGAAGACUAACUACUGCGAAAGCAUUUGCCAAGGAUGUUUUCAUUAAUCAAGAACGAAAGUUAGGGGAUCGAAGACGAUCAGAUACCGUCGUAGUCUUAACCAUAAACUAUGCCGACUA
rnacentral:rRNA from 1 species